rnacentral:rRNA from 1 species
CAAGUCGAACGAUAAGGUUCCUUCGGGAACACGAUAAGUGGCGGAACGGGUGAGGUAAUAUGUAGAGAAUCUGCCCUGAAGAGGGGGACAACAGAGGGAAACGUUCUGCUAAUACCCCAUAUGCGCGUAGUUGAGAUACUAUUCGUGAAAGAUUUAUCGCUUCGGGAUGAGUCUGCAUCUGAUUAGCUAGUUGGGGGUGUAAUGGACCACCAAGGCGACGAUCAGUAGCUGGUUUGAGAGGAUGAUCAGCCACAAUGGGACUGAGACACGGCCCAUACUCCUACGGGAGGCAGCAGUAGGGAAUUUUGCGCAAUGGGCGAAAGCCUGACGCAGCAACGCCCGCGUGAUCGCAGACGGCCUUCGGGUUGUAAAGAUCUGUCAGCAGGGACGAACAAUGACUGUACCUGCAGAGGAAGCACCGGCUAACUCCGUGCCAGCCGCUGC